CUUGCAAACUGAAGAUGGCGACCGGCGCACGGGUGAGUAACACGUAUCCAACCUACCGAUAACUCCGGAAUAGCCUUUCGAAAGAAAGAUUAAUACCGGAUAGCAUACGAAUAUCGCAUGAUAUUUUUAUUAAAGAAUUUCGGUUAUCGAUGGGGAUGCGUUCCAUUAGUUUGUUGGCGGGGGUAACGGGCCCACCAAGACUACGAUGGAUAGGGGUUCUGAGAGGAAGGUCCCCCACAUUGGAACUGAGACACGGUCCAAACUCCUACGGGAGGCAGCAUG
rnacentral:rRNA from 1 species